AUUUAUGUGGUGUCGAAAGACUGAGGGUGUUUGUCGAAUGAAGAAAUGAAGAAUAGUCUGGUUCUCCUCUCUUUGUCUCUCUCUCUUUGUUCUAUGAUCUCACCCAUUCUCCUUCCUCUCCUAAAUCUACCCAACUUUGUUCUAUGAUCUCACCUACUCUCCUUCCUAUCCUAAACCUACCCAAGCACUCCGCCACCGUGCCUAAAUCCUAUGCACAAAGCUUCAGAAACCAGAGUACCUCUUGUACUCCCUCCGUCCGGAAAUAACUGAUGAACUAAAACCACGUCAGUUAUUUCCGGUGCAGGGGUGCCUCAAAGCUCAGGUUUGCGCACACGCCAAAUCAUAAAACUUGUAUCAGGACUUGGCUCAUACAUAUCUCACGGGGUAUUAACAGUAUGACCCGAGUUGCCCAACCUGUCAAUCUUCUCGGCGUUUGUGAUUAAUUCAGCCAUAGGAGUAGCAUUUUGCUCUCAAGUCCAGCAAUUCAAAUUGGUCAAUAUUUGCAUCACAUGUUGUGCACAAUAUAGUAUGUCAGCAAUUCAGAUACAAAGAAAACACACCGGUUACAUCAGGCAGCAGCAUAGAAGCGUGGCAUGUCAACUCAGCUGAAUUCCGUGGAAUCUGCAAGCAGGGGGCAGUACGACCAACCCGAUUCUCAAGCUCUUUCUCAUCCAGUGGAGUCCGGCGACCCGAUGAUGUACAUGUAGAGGCAUCGAGCCCUGCUGCAAUGUCAGCAGCAUGGUGUUUCGACAGUCAACGCAUAAAUCCAUGCCAGAAGUCCUAGGAGCUGCUGAGUCUCAAUAUCUUUUCAGAUGUCUACCUUGUCUUCUUGGAAUGCUUUGUAUACAAAAUCUUUAAAGCGCCUGGAAUACUGUUUUGGAUCUACUGCUGAAAUAGACGUUGGGUCAUAUUG